AUUACAGUAUUUUAACCGGUAGGAAACUGGGCUUGUAACCCAAAAGUUGCAGGUUCGAUUCCCAGGUAGGA
rnacentral:tRNA from 1 species